rnacentral:rRNA from 1 species
UACGAGGACCCCAAGCGUUAUCCGGAAUUACUGGGCGUAAAGCGUGCGUAGACGGUUUCGUAAGUCGGGUGUGAAAUCCCCGGGCUCAACCUGGGAAUUGCAUUCGAAACUGCGAGGCUAGGGUACGGAAGAGGGAAGCGGAAUUUCUGGUGUAGCGGUGAAAUGCGUAGAUAUCAGAAGGAACACCGGUGGCGAAGGCGGGUCUCUGGGCCGAUACUGACGCUGAGGAGCGAAAGCAUGGGUAGCGAACAGG